rnacentral:rRNA from 1 species
GGAUCAAUAUGUUGGUCGUGCCUUGGUACGUACUAAUUUAUUGGUUUCUUCCUUCUGACGAACCUUGAUGUCAUUAAUUUGGUGUUUUGGGAAUCAGGACUGUUACUUUGAAAAAAUUAGAGUGUUUAAAGCAGGCUCACGCUUGAAUACAUUAGCAUGGAAUAAUGAAAUAGGACGUUUGAUUCUAUUUUGUUGGUUUCUAGGAUCGACGUAAUGAUUAAUAGGGAUAGUUG